CGAAUGCUGACAUAAGUAACGAUAAAGCGGGUGAAAAGCCCGCUCGCCGGAAGACCAAGGGUUCCUGUCCAACGUUAAUCGGGGCAGGGUGAGUCGACCCCUAAGGCGAGGCCGAAAGGCGUAGUCGAUGGGAAACAGGUUAAUAUUCCUGUACUUGGUGUUACUGCGAAGGGGGGACGGAGAAGGCUAUGUUGGCCGGGCGACGGUUGUCCCGGUUUAAGCGUGUAGGCUGGUUUUCCAGGCAAAUCCGGAAAAUCAAGGCUGAGGCGUGAUGACGAGGCACUACGGUGCUGAAGCAACAAAUGCCCUGCUUCCAGGAAAAGCCUCUAAGCAUCAGGUAACAUCAAAUCGUACCCCAAACCGACACAGGUGGUCAGGUAGAGAAUACCAAGGCGCUUGAGAGAACUCGGGUGAAGGAACUAGGCAAAAUGGUGCCGUAACUUCGGGAGAAGGCACGCUGAUAUGUAGGUGAAGUCCCUCGCGGAUGGAGCUGAAAUCAGUCGAAGAUACCAGCUGGCUGCAACUGUUUAUUAAAAACACAGCACUGUGCAAACACGAAAGUGGACGUAUACGGUGUGACGCCUGCCCGGUGCCGGAAGGUUAAUUGAUGGGGUUAGCCGCAAGGCGAAGCUCUUGAUCGAAGCCCCGGUAAACGGCGGCCGUAACUAUAACGGUCCUAAGGUAGCGAAAUUCCUUGUCGGGUAAGUUCCGACCUGCACGAAUGGCGUAAUGAUGGCCAGGCUGUCUCCACCCGAGACUCAGUGAAAUUGAACUCGCUGUGAAGAUGCAGUGUACCCGCGGCAAGACGGAAAGACCCCGUGAACCUUUACUAUAGCUUGACACUGAACAUUGAGCCUUGAUGUGUAGGAUAGGUGGGAGGCUUUGAAGUGUGGACGCCAGUCUGCAUGGAGCCGACCUUGAAAUACCACCCUUUAAUGUUUGAUGUUCUAACGUUGACCCGUAAUCCGGGUUGCGGACAGUGUCUGGUGGGUAGUUUGACUGGGGCGGUCUCCUCCUAAAGAGUAACGGAGGAGCACGAAGGUUGGCUAAUCCUGGUCGGACAUCAGGAGGUUAGUGCAAUGGCAUAAGCCAGCUUGACUGCGAGCGUGACGGCGCGAGCAGGUGCGAAAGCAGGUCAUAGUGAUCCGGUGGUUCUGAAUGGAAGGGCCAUCGCUCAACGGAUAAAAGGUACUCCGGGGAUAACAGGCUGAUACCGCCCAAGAGUUCAUAUCGACGGCGGUGUUUGGCACCUCGAUGUCGGCUCAUCACAUCCUGGGGCUGAAGUAGGUCCCAAGGGUAUGGCUGUUCGCCAUUUAAAGUGGUACGCGAGCUGGGUUUAGAACGUCGUGAGACAGUUCGGUCCCUAUCUGCCGUGGGCGCUGGAGAACUGAGGGGGGCUGCUCCUAGUACGAGAGGACCGGAGUGGACGCAUCACUGGUGUUCGGGUUGUCAUGCCAAUGGCACUGCCCGGUAGCUAAAUGCGGAAGAGAUAAGUGCUGAAAGCAUCUAAGCACGAAACUUGCCCCGAGAUGAGUUCUCCCUGACUCCUUGAGAGUCCUGAAGGAACGUUGAAGACGACGACGUUGAUAGGCCGGGUGUGUAAGCGCAGCGAUGCGUUGAGCUAACCGGUACUAAUGAACCGUGAGG
rnacentral:rRNA from 1 species